rnacentral:lncRNA from 1 species
AUGACGUGAGGGCAAGGCAGAACUACCACCUGAGGCACGAGACAAGAGACCUUGUGUAAGCAAGAAUAAAAAGAGAAGGAAAAGAUUUGCCCUGCCCCAGGGGCCAAAGAGGAGGAGGAGGAGGCACUAGGCCAGCAGGAGGCCCCCCGCUCUCCACCACCUGGGGCACGGGCCCCUCAAGAGACCAAGCUGGUGCCGGCACCAGGCCGCAGGAUGCUGAGGAUCGCCGGCUGCGGUGUCACCUCCUGGCCCGCACCUGGCUGCCGGGCACCAAGAUCUGCAGCAAGAUCUGCAGAGACAGGGCCGCCCGCGGGGGCACAUCCCUCCCAGGGCUCCUGUCCACCUCCGCUGUGGGACAGAGACAGCACCCGGGAAUGGCUGCCACUGCCUCUCCCAAGGCUCUUUUUCGGAUAGAGGUUCCCUUGUUGAGCUCCUCCUGACCUUCCUCUACCUCAGCAACGUGGUCACUGGCCUGUURAGCUGCUCCCCAGCCUGUGACAGGAUUCAGAGUGCUGCGAUGAUCAUGUGGGAGGUGAUGAUCUCCUGCUCCCAGACAACUAAGAAGUUGCUGCAAGAGCUGCUCUGUGUGCUGCAGGACUGGCCCCUCUGCAAUCCGGGCACCACCAUGCAGGACCUCACCUGCAUCCUCUCCCUGACCAUGAGUUGCCCCAUGGGCUCACUGGGCACGGAAGGCCUCCCCACGCACAUGGCCAUGGCACUAGCGAGGACUGUCUCUGGGUCUUUGCAGGUAACCCAGGCACUGAACAUCUGCCUCCCAAGCCAGCAGCUUCUCUGCUCGUGA